AUGCUGUUGUCAUUUAAACUUAUGACAUAUCUAGUUACAUUUUUCAAACAAAUAUUUAAACAUUUAAACCAGAUUUGCGCAGUUUAUAAUUCUGGUGGAUUUUUUAAUAAACUUUCUUUAAAAAAAGAAAAUGUUACUUUAUUUUUCAGCACUGGUUUUUCAAGAUUUCAUUUAAGUCAACUUCAAGCGUUUCCUUUGACUAAAUCAAUUUUUCGAAAUCUUUAAAUCAAAUAAUACAUUUAAAAACAGCUUUUGCGAACAUAAACUUGAAUACAUCUUUUGCUAACUUAAAAAAAAAAUGCAGCUAAGGAAGAGAAAACUGCUCGUUUUGUUAUCUGCAUCUGUAUUUAUAUUUUUCAUUAAAUUUA